rnacentral:tRNA from 1 species
UAGGGCGUCGCCAAGCGGUAAGGCAGUGGACUUUGAAUCCACCAUUCGUAGGUUCGAAUCCUACCGCCCUAG